GACGAACGCUGGCGGCGUGCCUAAUACAUGCAAGUCGAACGCAGUGGGGACGGGUGAGUAACACGUGGGUAACCUCCCAUCAGAGGGGAUAACCCUUGGAAACAGGUGCUAAACCGAUACUGAUGGAUGGACCCGCAGUGCAUUAGCUAGUUGGGGAGGUAACGGCUCACCAAGGCCACGAUGCCUAGCCGACCUGUGAGGGUGAGUGGCCACACGGGGACUGAGACACGGCCCAGACUCCUACGGGAGGCAGCAGUAGGGAAUCUUGGGCAAUGGGCGAAAGUCUGACCGAGCAACGCCGCGUGAGUGAAGAAGGUGUUCGGAUCGUAAAGCUCUGUUGUUAGAGAAGCGGUAUCUAAACAGAAAGCAACGGCUAACUACGUGCCAGCAGCCGCGGUAAUUC
rnacentral:rRNA from 1 species